UUUGCUGAGUGUCUGCUUUGUGGGACACAAGAUGAGUCUCAUGUUCACUUGUUUUUUGGAUCCUAGUACAGCAGAAGAAUAUGGGAAGACAUUAGUAGCUGGAUUGGUAUUUCUGGUAGAGAUUACAGCUUACAGAAUGCUGCUAGAAGAACUAGAAAUUAUAAAACUACUUUCAAGCAAUGUCUACUUAGAGCUUGUAUUUUGGCAGUGGUGUAUUGGAUUUGGAAGGCUAGGAAUGUGGCUCUUUAGAGCUAAAAAAUUCUGUGUAUUCACACAAUUGUAAAAAAUAUCAAAGAAGAAGUUAGGAAUAGAAUGUUAAAUGUAAAUUCAAAGAAAAUACAUAGUGUAGAUAAGGAUUGGUUACAAGAGCAAAUUAUAUAGGCUUGUUCUUGUUUGUUUUUUCUUUCAAGCAAUUUGUUCUACCAGUUAGGUUGUUCCCGUUUUGGGACUAGUUUGUAAAUAUGAUUUUGAGCUAUAAAUUUUACUUACCACAAAAAAAAAAAAAAAAAAAAAAAAAAAAAAAAAAAAAAAAACCUCAUCUGUAGGCUGCCAAGAGACUCCUUAGAUAUCUUGCUGUCAGAAGAUCAUCUCAGGGUAUACUUUUAGCUUCUUCAUCUGCACCUCAACUAACUUCCUUUUGUGACAGUGAUUGGGAAAGUUAUCCAACUUCUCAAAGAUCAACAACUAGUUACUGUAUUUUACUUGGCAAGUCUCUAAUUUCGAUUCCUAGAAGCCAAGAAACAGAAAGUGGUUGCUAAAUCCUCUACUGAGGCAUAAUAUAGAGCUAUGGCUCUAACAGCUUGUGAGGUUACCUGACUUAAAUCUUUUCUCAAGGAUCUGGGUAUUACUUAUCUUGGUCCUACAUUACUCAACUGUGAUAAUCAAGCUGCAAUUGCUAUUGCAGCUAAUCCUGUACUGCAUUAAAGAACUAGGCACAUAGAAAUCGAUUGUCCCUAUGUUCAAGAUAUGGUAAAGUCUGGUGAACUUAUUCAAUCAUAUGUUUCUUCCAAGAAUCAACUUGCUAAUAUUCUGACUAAGGGUCUAUCUGUCAAGCAACAUCAAGAUAUUCUUCUCACGCUUGGUGCUAGUUCUUCCUCUUCUAGCACUCAGCUUGAAGGGGGGUAUUAAGGCAGGGGUAACUUAGGGGUUGUUUGGUAAGUAGUUUUUUGUAUAGAUUUUGGCUUUUAGCUUUUGAAAGUGGUCAAACAGCCAAAAUUUGUUGUUUGGUUAAUUGGGUUUUUGGUUGGUUAAAAAGCCAGCUUUAACGCCAAAAGCCAAAAGCCAAAAGCUAGUGAUAGUAGCUUUUUUGGAUUGACUUUUGGCUGAAAUGAUAACAAAUAAAAUUUUUUCCCUUUAUUACUUUAUCAUCUCAAUUUCCUUUCUCUCUCCUAAAACAAAAAAAAACCCACUAUACUACUACUAUACUACAGAGUGAAUUUGGGAGAAGUUGGGGUGAACGUAUCACCACUAGAGCAGCGGGAGCGGCGGUGCAUAGAUUUAUCAAGCUCUGGCAUCUGCUAUACGAAAAAGGUACGAGGCAUCCAACACUUGGUCAAGGAGGGAAGGGCGAUUAAUCAA